AACGAACGCUGGCGGCAUGCCUAACACAUGCAAGUCGAACGAGACCUUCGGGUCUAGUGGCGCACGGGUGCGUAACGCGUGGGAACCUGCCCUUAGGUUCGGAAUAACUCCCCGAAAGGGGUGCUAAUACCGGAUAAUGUCUUCGGACCAAAGAUUUAUCGCCUUUGGAUGGGCCCGCGUUGGAUUAGCUAGUUGGUAGGGUAAAAGCCUACCAAGGCGACGAUCCAUAGCUGGUCUGAGAGGAUGAUCAGCCACACUGGGACUGAGACACGGCCCAGACUCCUACGGGAGGCAGCAGUGGGGAAUAUUGGACAAGGGGCGAAAGCCUGAUCCAGCAAUGCCGCGUGAGUGAUGAAGGCCUUAGGGUUGUAAAGCUCUUUUACCCGGGAUGAUAAUGACAGUACCGGGAGAAUAAGUCCCGGCUAACUCCGUG
rnacentral:rRNA from 1 species